rnacentral:rRNA from 1 species
UACGGAGGGUGCAAGCGUUGCUCGGAAUCAUUGGGCGUAAAGCGCACGUAGGCGGCUCGUUAAGUCGGAUGUGAAAGCCCUCGGCUCAACCGAGGAAGUGCAUACGAAACUGGCGAGCUUGAAUAUGGAAGAGGGUCGCGGAAUUCCCGGUGUAGAGGUGAAAUUCGUAGAUAUCGGGAGGAACACCAGUGGCGAAGGCGGCGACCUGGGCCAAUAUUGACGCUGAGGUGCGAAAGCGUGGGGAGCAAACAGG